rnacentral:tRNA from 1 species
UAAGAGGGAGCUUGAAUAAGUAUCCCAUUUACACUGGGGAGAUCCCAUUAGGGCCUUUUAA